UCUGAUGGUAAAAUACGAGGUUGUGGA
rnacentral:piRNA from 1 species